rnacentral:rRNA from 1 species
UACGUAGGGUGCGAGCGUUAAUCGGAAUUACUGGGCGUAAAGCGUGCGCAGGCGGCGCGCUAAGACAGGUGUGAAAGCCCCGAGCUUAACUUGGGAAUUGCGCUUGUGACUGGCGUGCUGGAGUGUGGCAGAGGGAGGUGGAAUUCCACGUGUAGCAGUGAAAUGCGUAGAGAUGUGGAGGAACACCGAUGGCGAAGGCAGCCUCCUGGGCCAGCACUGACGCUCAUGCACGAAAGCGUGGGGAUCAAACAGG